GCGCCUCUCCCUCCACACCUCCCCGCAAGCUGAGGGAGCCGGCUCCGGCCUUGGCCAGCCCAGAAAGGGGCUACCACAGUGCAGUGGCGGGCUGAAGGGCUCCUGAAGUGCCGCCAAAGUGGGAGCCCAGGCAAAGGAGGCGCCAAGAGCGAGCGAGGGCUGUGAGGACUGCUAGCACGCUGUCACCUCUCAAUAUGGUCCAACCAAGGUCAACUAGUUGAUUGCAGCCCGAUUUCACAGCCAGCCCCACCUCACACGGGGAGUGCCCCUCCGACUCACUUGCCUCAGUUCUGGAGAAGACGCACAGAUUCCAAGAGCAAUUGGAAUUUAUACUUCUUCAUCCUCCUUUGACGUUCUAUUUGGGCCGAUUCCUUUCGUCUAGGGUCAGGAAGCUCAUCCAUCAGGACUCACACAGUUUGUAAGGAGACGUUGGGUUCAUUUCCAUUUUUAGGGUGUACAUUGCAAAGCCCACUAUGACUGAAGAUCUUACUGGACACCACAUAGCAACUGCUGCCGCACAGUCAGGAAUGUGCCUUUUUCCCAAGGCCAAAACGUUGUGACCUCUCAUCAUGCACAAAUUAUAGCUGACCUGAUAUUGGGUAUGUCUGAGGUGUACAGAGUCUCUAAUUCUAUUCAGAACAUAGCACCUGUCAGCAAUCAACAGAAUCAAAUGGUCCUGGGGUGAAUGUUCACUUCCUCCUUUUUUUUUCCUUUGCCAAAACAUAACUAUGGGUUGAGGGGACGCAUCACAGAUGAGAAACAAUGAGCCUGGUCUUCCCAGUGUAAACCCAAGCAAGGGCUGGCACAGUGGGUCAGUCCCCCGAGGCAAAGCCAGUAGAAACCAGACUGUUGACAACUGCCUUACAACACUUUGUGCAAUCCCAUGAAGAGAAGAGUAACAUAAACUAAAUGCCUGGACAGUUUUUCUUUGUAAAAUUUCAACAGGAAAACUCAACUUGUAGGUUUUCUAGAGACAUACCUAUACUCUAUAUUGAAUGGUAUAUUUUAGCUUACAGGGGAGGCUUCCGGUUGAUAACAACCAUUUUCAUUUGUUGCAGGAUCUGAAAUACAACCAUGUGAAAAAAUUCCUAUAAGGUUUUACAUAUUACCCAGCACAGAGCAAGAGCCAGAUAAAUGGUAGCAAAAUUGCCAUCAUGUAAUCUUGUGAAAAACAUUGAUUCUUCAUAUCUGCAACUUUAAUUAGAGUUUUGAAUUAAGUGAAAAUUCUGAAAGCACUAGAAAGUCAAAUUUAGAAUGCUCCUUUCAGCAGCAGAAAUGGGGUAAAUAAGAACAGGGACACUAGGGGAACCACCUUAUUACAAGCCAUUUCAAUUUGACAUUUUGCUGUAUUUGAAGAAUGUUUGUGGGCAUUGACACCUACACAUUAGAUAUUUGAUGUGCAACUGGUGCCCUCUAGUGACAGGGUGAACAGUCUUCAGUCACUAAAGCUAAAGAAAUCCAAUCUUCCUAACUUAACCAACCCCAGAUUUACGAGAAGGGAAGAGAAAGGGGAGAAGGUAGGAGGCCAGAAGGUGUCUGUCUCACUGUAAUUCAGAAGGCAAAUCUAAGCAGGCAUCCUUUGGUCUCUAAGAUAAGGGUUCUCAAAUGCUUUUGAAGUUUCACUUUUCUUUUGGAGAAAGGACACUUUCUACCUUGUAUCUCUCAGAACUUCCCUAGAAUGGGAGCUGAGUUUUUAAAGGCCACCUCAGGUAAUACAGCUAUACUCCAAAAUUCACACAAUUCCUCUGCCCUCUGGAAAACCAUGGAAUAAUGAGGCAGUGGAUUUUGGUUCCAUGGGGAAUCCUGGAACCCAUCUCCCACAAAUACUAAGGGAUGACUGUAAACAUAUGUAUACAGUGUGGCAGAUACAAUAUGAUAGAUUCCUGCAGGAACCAUGGAAACACAAUCCAGUUCAUUUCUCUGAUCUCACAUUGAAUGUAUCUCUCCUUUCCACCAUGAUUUCAUGCACAUUUUCACUGGCAUAUGGCAUAAACUGAUUUUUUUUAACUAAUGGAAGCCUAUUCAGGGAUCAAUUAUUACCUCAUGGAAAUAUUUGUCAACCAUUCCUUACUUUCCUACUUAGAAGCAGGGGGAAAGUGUGUUUUUAACUACUAGGUAAUUUAAUCAUUUUUUCCCCUCUCACCUCCUAUAUAUCUACUGGGGCCAAGUCAGCUGAAAAAAUAAAAUCAUAUAAGCAAACUGCCACUUCAUCAUCUUGUCUCAGAAACUCCUGCUGGCAGCAUACAUUUUAUAUACCCCAAAUGGGGUGUUCUGAAACAGACAGGCGAAUUCCAGCUUCCCCUAAUUUACUGCCCUCCUUUCCAUAGCAUCAGAUUCAUAAAACAUUGCCUGGGUGGCUGGCUGGCUGUCUCACUGUCUUGAGGCUGAAGCAAGGCACAGGGGACCAGGAAGGAGACAUUAGUUGCCAAGUCUCUGCUGACAAGAAUACUUGCCUCCGCCCUUUUAGAGCAUUUAACAUAAGCAAAAGAAACAGGGGAAAAAGACUUGGCUUGCCAGCAAACCAUUACACAAAUCUAAAGAUGUGGUAUUAAGUUUUGUUCCUGUAAGUGUUCUUUCCAUGACUAGCCCUAUUAAUUGGUGCUUCAGCUUCAAAACUAUUUCAGUUUUUAUGUCACAGAAGAGACUUGAGAAUCCAAUUAGCUACGUUUAUUAGAAACACUUGAACAUUUUUCUACACAUUGUUUUCAUGUUAAAUAACAUAGUGAUAAGGGGAAAAGUUAGAGGAAGUUUGAAGCGAUUGCAUUAGGCUUUAAUUUUCCACCAAGUGUUUGCAUGUAUCCUGGACAAACCAACUCUGCAAAUGCAAAAGGAAACUGGUUUUUUCACUCUUUGGGAGAAAGCACAAAUGAAACAGCCCAAUUAUAGGGAAAUAACAAAGAACGGUGGGUAACCUACUUGACAGACAACUUAAUUUAACUCUAUUUUCAAUAUCUAGAAUACACAUUAAGUAGCCUCCCAUUCAAUCCCAGCCCUUGAGGCCAUGCCACCUACAACCAUCAAAAUGCUCAUAUGUUAAAGCUCCCUGGGGACUUAACGGGUAUUAAUAGGUUUAUACAGUCUGUUAUUUUCCUAAGGUCACAACUGGGAGCCCAAAGUGAAUCCCAACCCCCUGUCCUAUCUUCUUUGGUCAGGGUUUUAAGAAUUGGGCAAUUUUACCUAAAAACCCAGAUAUCUGAAUUCUCUGGGGAAAAAUCAAGUGAUCUGGCCAUACCCAAGUCCUCCAUCCCACAUGGCAACAGUUGGCUGAAACGGAGCAUGCCUGUCCCCUGUAGAUGGGAUAUGCCUAUUUAGAGAAGUCCGUGUCUUCCUGCUCACUCACUUCUAUUGCUUGCCUGACCCCUACAGGCCUUUGACUUUUCCACGGUGGUUUACAAAGGGCUUCUAUGUAUGGUGGUAAUUAGUUUCUAAUGGUUAUAAGAUAAAUAGCAAGUUCAGUCUGCUCUGCUACAGCUCAUGUUUCUGUAACAAUUAGCUUAAAUAAAAUUGGUAAAUGAGUGAAUGUUGUUUGUAUAACCUAGAAGUCUUUUUGGUUCGUGUAACUAAGUAGCAGCACCUAAAUGCAAAAUCACAAACACUCAAUGGCCAUCAGCCCAUGUUCUUCUUUCUGGCUUAUAUGAGCCUCCAGUUUUGUCUGGAAGUGCUCAUUGCACAGUUCUCCCUGAUCCUUCUGUAUUUUGCUCUUUCUGCAUAGCUCAGCAUGCUCAGUCCUUUGUCACUGCCUUCCCUGUCCAUCAGUCUACCUUCACCUUUUUUUGUUCAUUAAGGCAAAGGCCUCUUAUUUUGGUGUAUUUAUUAGAAACAUAAAAUGUAAAAUUUGUGCUAAUAUUCUAAUUGAGGUCAUUACCAGUUUUGUUAGUGCCUGGUUUCAAAGUUAUAUACGUUUUUAUUGAUCUGUCCCUAAUCCCAUCUUUUCCCAAAACUUCUGUUACCUCUAGCACAAAAUUCUACCGGAAGCAGGGGUUUUCAGAAAUAUGUCUGUCAAAUUAUAAUAUGUUCGAAAGUACUACUGAAAAACUAAGACCUUCACUCCAUAAGAAGGACCUGGAGUAGAGGUUGGCAUGUCUCAUGGUAAGCCCAAAAGUUAAUUCUCCAGCAUUAAAACAGGCAAUUGUAAGCAGCUGGCUAGCAUUUAGGGGCUACGUUUCAUGAAAAAUCGGUUUUUAAACAUCACAAGCAUACUCAGUGUGGGGAGAUGUUCAUAAUAAAUAGACUCACAGGAACUAAGUAUAUAUAUAUUGCUUCAUUUAUUUCUAACAACAUUCUUGUGCCUGUGGUAUCAACACUUCUGUUUUACUGAUGAAGAAUCUGAGGCUGAAAGGGAUGAAACACUUGCUUGGAAUUUCAUUCCUGUGUGGUGAGCACAAGUUUCAAAUCCAAGGUUUCUAAACCUCUAGCUCUUCCAUCCUUCAGUAGUUUCCUGUCAGAAGUGGAGCAGGUCUAUUGGGCUCUCUUCUUAGAUCAAUUUCAACCCCUUUCUACAAUAUUAUGCGAUUCAAAGUCCUUUAAAGUCAGACUUACAUGUGGUAUUUUUUAAGUGUUUUUAUUUAAAAAAUUAAAACAUUUAUUAACACUUACACUGCAUAGUACACGAAGAAUAUGGCCUAUGGGGUCAAACAGACUUGAGUUCCUUUAUUUAAAAAUAUUAAUUUUUAAUUUAUUAAUAUUUAUCAUUGUGCGAGGCAUUGAGGUGUAGUGGUAGACAUGACCACAUGGUGCUGGUGCUCAGCGGGCUUAUAUUCUAGUGGUACAAUCUUUUGUUAAAUGUGUGAAACAAAAAUACUAUUACCUAUUUUAAAGGACUACAAAAACAAAUUUGGAACUACAUAUGUGGUAAGGCGUCACACAUAGAAACCAUUUGACUGUUAGCAGUUGUUAUUGAAUUGAUACAAUAAUACUAAUUACACAGAAGCAGAAGAGGCAAGGAGAUUUUAGGAUAAGUAGCUGCUCCAGCACAAAAGCCACCAUUAGCAGUCAACAAUUAUUCAUGCACCUGUGACUCCCUCGUCCCCAGUGAAAGCCUCAGAGCUGUGCAGGUAUACAGGCUGAGGUGUGACCUGGCUGUAUAUAAAAGCUAAUUCCUCUACAGUCCCACUUGUUCUGACACAUUACAUUGUAAAUGAACUUACUUGGAAUGUAACAGAUUUCUACAAAUAACUAUUCAUUUCAAAAGUUCUGUUAAAUCAUAAACCCUAUACCUCCCGCUCCCCCAGCCCCUGGUAUGCUUAAAGGCCCAACAGCCACCCUUUAAAAAACUAAGAAAGUUUCACUUCUAGCAAGGACCAACUAGGUUUUUUUGAUCCAACUGUCCCACCAGAAACAAAUGAAAAAGCCAGAUCAAUAUCAUAUAAAAAAGUCUGUUUAAAAUCAUCAAAAAGCUACCAAAUAAAUGAGAAUUUGUGGGACCAAUGUCCAGGAGGAGAGAGACAAUGAAGGGCGUAAGCCUGGCACCAUUUUGCCCCCUAGGAAUAUUGUGAGAUAUGAAAACAGUGGCUGAGAUGGUAAGGAAUUGAGAAUAGAUUUUGACAGAUUCAUAGGACUAUGGAGAUAGAAACUAGAGUGCAGGGCCUGCCCCAGGUUUCAGGGUUUCAGGUACAAACCAAGAGUAAGAGUACACCAAAAACAGAGUAGUCCAGUCCUCAAAAAGACUAAAAACACCUUAAAUUAUUUUGAUGUCUAAUGAGAUUAAACUGAUAUACCCCUAACCUAGUUGAUUGCCAGAGGCAAAAACGCAUGCUCACUGAAGAAAGAUAAUGUCAGAGCCUCAAAUUACCUCAACAGCUGGUCAUAUACAGUGUCUGGCCCUCAAUAAAAAAUAACCAGUCCAGCCUGGGCAACAUAGGGAGACCCUGUCUCUACAAAAACAUUUAAAAAAAUUAGCUGGCAUGGUAGUAUGCAUCUGGAGUCCUAGCUACUCAGGAGGCUGAGGCGGGAGGAUCGCUUGGGCCCAGGAGUUUUAGGCUGCAGUGAGCUACGAUUGUGCCACUGCAUUCUAGCCUGGGUGGGCAAUAGAGUGAGAUCCUGUCUCUAAAAACGAACAAGAAACCCCAAAAUCCUCAGCCAUUACCAUUACAGGAAGACAAGUUUUUGCCAGAAACCAAGAGAUGAGAACAAGUAAUAGAAACUGGGCCACAGGAGAUUCAGAAGAUACAGUUAUCAAACAUGGGCUUUACAAUAACUAGAAUUAAUAUUUUCAAGGAAUUAAGAAACAAAAAUGGAGAAUUUCAUCAAAGUGUGGAAACUAUUAAAAAAUCCAAUGGAAAUAAAUUCUAGAACUGAAAAAUAGACCAAGAACUCAACAGAUGAGUUUAAUAGGAAAGUAGACACAGGUGAAGCAAGAACUUGUGAAGCAGAGGAGAAACCGAAAGAAAAUAGACUGAAGUUCAGAAUCAAAAGGAUCGAAACAGAAAAGAGGCAUAUGGGAAAAGGGAAAAUGUCUAGCAUAUGUAUAAUUACAGUCUCAAAAGAGAGGUGAUACAGAAUUUGGCAGUUGAACAUUCUAAUCAUGUCACAGCACUACUGAUGAAAUCCAAAGGCAUAGACAGAAAACCUGAAAAGCAGGAGAGAAAAAGGGUGUAUCACCUUCAAAGCAACAGUAAGACUGAUCAUUGGUUCAUGAAGAGAAACAACAGAAGACAGAUAUUGAUAGGUGGCCAGGCGCGGUGGCUCGCGCCUGUAAUCUCAGAACUUUGGGAGGCCAAGGCGGGCAGAUCACUUGAGGUCAGGAGUUCAAGAUCAGCUUGGCCAACAUGGUGAAACCCCGUCUCUACUAAAAAUACAAAAAAUUAGCCAGGCGUGGUGGCGGGCACCUGUAAUUCCAGCUACUUGGGAGGCUGAGGCAGUAGAAUCACCGGAAACUGGGGGGUGGAAGUUGCAGUGAGCUGAGAUCCCACCACUGCACUCCACCCUGGGCAACAAGAGCAAAACUCCAUCUCAAAAACAAAAACAGAUAUUGAUAGGCUAUAAUGAACUAGAAUUCUAUAUCCAGUGAAAAUAUCAUUCAAAAAUUAGUAUGAAAUAAAAACAUUUUCAAACAAAACAAGAAAGCGAGGAUGUUCAUCACCAUAAGAUCUACAGUAAAGGACAUUAUAAAGAGGUUUUCUUCAGGGUAAAGGGAAAGUAAUCACAGAAGGAAGCUGAGAAAUACAGGAGGGAAUAGAGAGCAAUGGGAAGGGUAAAAUGUAGGGAAAUAUAAAUCAACGUUGACUCUAAACAAAACCAAUAAUGUCUACUGAGACCUUUAAAUACAUUUAGAAUUGUUUAGAGAAGGGUGAGGAGGAAACACACUGGUAGAAGAUUGUCAACUCAGUUAAAGUGCCCAAUAAAUCUAAGGAUGGUCCUUUCAAUAAAUGACGUCAAGACAAUAGGAUAUCCACUUUGGAGGGGAACACUUUUAAUUUAACCCUUAUUUCACACCACUCACAGGCAUACAAAAUAACUCCAGGAGACUUUCCCAUCUCACCUGUGAAAACUAAAACACAAUAAAAAUUUUUAUAAGUCAACAUAGAAUGUCUUUAAGAACUUGGGGUAAGAAAAGGUGUUUUUAAAACAGGACAAAUUGCACUAACCAUAAAAAAAAAGAGCGAUACCACCUGUAUGUUAUGAUUUUAAACUUUUGCUCACUGAAAGAUACCACUACAGAAAUAAAAAGUGGAGAUAUCUGCAACUCAUAGUACCUAGAGUAUACAAAGAACUUCUAAAAAUCAGUUAAGAAAUAGAGAAAACUCAAGGGAAAAAUGGGCAGGAAACUUGAUGCCUCACAAAGGACAUUCAAAUGGCAAAUGCAUGAAAAGUUGCUCAACUUUCUCCUUAAUGUCAGAGAAAAGCAAAUUAAAACUACAAUAUAAUUAAUUUUAAGAGACUUUGAGUCUUUUGACAAGGGUGUACAGCAAAUAGAAAUAACAUCAUAGUAAUGAUGGGAGUGGUAAAUUUAGGCAUAGUUGGAAAAUAUUUUGGCCAUACCUACUAAAAUUGACAUAUGCAUACUUUAUGCCCCAGCAAUUCAUCUUAUCUAUAUUUCCAACACAAAUGUCACAUAUGUGGAUCAAAAGAAUUGUACAAGAUAACCAGGGCUGUAUUCAUUACAACCAAAAAAACUGGAAACAACCCAAUUGUUCAGCAACAAAAAUACAUUGUGGUAUAUUCAGACAACAGAACACUAUAACUUGCAUAACACUAUGCAAGACAAACAAGCAAAUACUGCUAUAUACAACACAAAUGAUUUUUGCAAACGUAAUGUUGAAGAAAAGAAGUCAGGGGUAAAAGAAUAUAUCUUAGGAUUCCGUUUAUAUUGAAUUCAACAACCAGCAAGACUCUCUGUUAGAAUUUAAGGUAUUGGUUAUCUUAGCAGGGAAGAUUUCAGGAGGCCUAAUGGUGCUCUGGGAGCCUGGUCUAUUUUUUUUUUUUUUUUUAUCAGAGCAGUGGUUACCUUUUUUUAUCAGAGCAGUGGUUACCUGAGUGUAUCCAUGUUGUGGUAAUUCAUUUGUGAUUUAUGUAGUUUCCUACAUGUACAUGUCAAUAACAAAAGUAAUUUUUAAAUAUUUUAAAAGGCACGUGGUCAGUACCUUGCCUGAAGACUAGUUUAACAGGAAAUUUUCUUCAAAUACCUUCCUGAUGUCACUAGAGAACAUUUGUGGCUUUUAUCCUAAAAAUGACACUCAAACCUAGUUAAUGGUUUCUCAAAUUGGGGAGGCUAUCCAAAUGUCAAGAACAUAGUUUCAUACCAGCAGGAAAGCCCAAAACAGCCCUUUCAAACUCAAAAGAAAAAUAUGGAGUAAAAAUUGUUUUCACUAAACGUAAUAGUGUAAGAUUAAAAGUAUACUAAGGAAAAGUCGUCAUGCCAUUAUUUGAAUUCACUUACAUUCAACAAAUAUUUAUAGGAUUAUGUACCUAUAACUUCCUGAAGUAAAUAUUCAGGAUGGUGGGGAAGAGACUGGUUCAGCAAGUCACAUACUGUUUGAAUUCUCUGUGAUUCAUCUGUUUUGUGAUACUGGGCAAGCAGUUUAAUCUAAGUUUCAGUUACCUUACCUAUAAAAAUAGGAGUAAUAAAAUCUGUGGGCUCAAUAACAUAAUGUUGGUUUUAAGUUUCUACUCCAGUGCCUAAUAGAAACUUAUAUAAAUGUUUGUUCCUCACUCCUUAGAGCUUUAAGAAAAAUUUUUUAAAAAUUUAUUUAAAAAGUGUUACUAUUAUUCUUAAGAAAAUGUGAGCUUUUUCUUAAAAUAAGCUCACUUUAGUAUAAUUUAUAAGAUUUCCUUCCUCUGUAAAUUUUUAAACCUCCUUGAUAUCAUUUUGCCAAUUUUGUUUCUAUUGCCAACAUAUUUUUUUUCCUCCUCCAGUUAAUUCUGAAAUUAAAUACAAAGAAACAGGGCCUUUCCCAGGUCCUGAACUGGUAUUUUUCUGGUCUCUUUAAAACAGUAUUAUUGUCUUCUGACAACCAACCAAGAAACCCCACCCAGCAGCCCCUUCCCCAAUCAAUAUUCUGUUGUUUUAUGGUAUCUCCUCUUCCCCUGCCCCAAAUAUGGUCAAAUCAAGACAAAAAUCUCUUGUCCUGGGAUCAUAAACUCAAAAUACCAAAUAUAGUACAAAAUAAACCAGGAAAAAAAAAAAAAAAUACAGCCACUAUACAAGACAGUUUGGUGGCUUCUUACAAAACUAAGCAUUCUCUUAUCAUACAUCCAGGAAUGCCACUCCUUGGUAUUCACUAACCAAAUGAGCUAAAAAUAGUCCAUACAAACACCUGCACACAGACGUUUAUAGCAGGUUUACUCAAAACUGUCAAAACUUGACACAACCAAGAUGUCCUUCAGUAGGCAAACAGAUAAGUAAUCUGUGGAACAUCCAGAUGAUAGAAUAUUAUUCAGCACUAAAAAGAAAUUACCAAGCCAUGAAAAGACAUGGAAGAAUCUUAAAUAUGUAUUACUAAAUGAAAGAAGCCAAUCUGAAAAGGCUACAUACUGUAUUAUUCAGACUAUAUAACAUUCUGGAAAAGGCAACACUAUAGAGACAGUUAAAAGAUUAGUGGUUGCCAGAGGUUGGGGGGAUAGAAAAACAUGGAGAGUUUUUAGGACAGUGAAAAUCUCCUACAAUAUUAUAAUGAUGGAUACAUGUCAUUAUACAUUUGCCUAAACCCAUAAGAAUGUACAACCCUAAGAGUAACUAAGGUAAACUAUGGGCUAUGGGAGAUGUUAGGUCAAUGCAGGUUCAUUGAUUGUUUAUUAUUCAUUGAUUAUGGACCACUUAUUGUUCAUUGAUUAUGGACCACUCUGGUGGGGAGUGUUGAUAAAGAGAGAAGAAGCUAUGCAUAUGUAGGGGAAGGCGAUAUAUGGGAAAUCUCUGUACUUUCCCUCCUUUUAAUUAAUUCUGCUGUGAACUGAAACUAAGAAAUAAAACUACUCGAAAACCCAA